AACCUAGCACACCUGCGGUGUGUACCUGCGGAAGGAUCAUUACAGAGUUGCAAAACUCCCCAAACCAUUGUGAACCUUACCUUCAAACGUUGCUUCGGCGGGCGGGCCACAGCGCCCCCCGGGCCCCCCCAGCGGGGGCGCCCGCCGGAGGAUACCCAAACUCUUGAUACUUUAUGGCCUCUCUGAGUCUUCUGUACUGAAUAAGUCAAAACUUUCAACAAUGGAUCUCAGAUCGGAAGA
rnacentral:misc_RNA from 1 species